CAAUAGCGUAUAUUAAAGUUGUUGCAGUUAAAAAGCUCGUAGUUGGAUUUGUGGCGUACGGUGGGUUCCGGGCACUUGUUGUCUGAGUAACUUGCUGUUGCCAUCCUUGGGUGGAACCUGUGUGGCAUUAGGUUGUCGUGCAGGGGAUGCCCAUCAUUUACUGUGAAAAAAUUAGAGUGUUCAAAGCAGGCUUAUGCCGUUGAAUAUAUUAGCAUGGAAUAAUGAGAUAGGACUUUUUUGCUAUUUUGUUGGUUUGCGCAAAGAGGUAAUGAUUAAUAGAGACAGUUGGGGGUAUUCGUAUUCCAUUGUCAGAGGUGAAAUUCUUGGAUUUUUGGAAGACGAACUACUGCGAAAGCAUUUACCAAGGAUGUUUUCAUUAA
rnacentral:rRNA from 1 species